rnacentral:rRNA from 1 species
AGCGGCGGACGGGUGAGUAAUGCCUAGGAAUCUGCCUGGUAGUGGGGGAUAACGUUCGGAAACGGACGCUAAUACCGCAUACGUCCUACGGGAGAAAGCAGGGGACCUUCGGGCCUUGCGCUAUCAGAUGAGCCUAGGUCGGAUUAGCUAGUUGGUGAGGUAAUGGCUCACCAAGGCGACGAUCCGUAACUGGUCUGAGAGGAUGAUCAGUCACACUGGAACUGAGACACGGUCCAGACUCCUACGGGAGGCAGCAGUGGGGAAUAUUGGACAAUGGGCGAAAGCCUGAUCCAGCCAUGCCGCGUGUGUGAAAAAGGUCUUCGGAUUGUAAAGCACUUUACCUUGGGAGGAAGGGCAGUUACCUAAUACGUCAUUGUUUUGACGUU